rnacentral:rRNA from 1 species
GAUGAACGUUGGCGGCGUGCCUAAUACAUGCAAGUCGAACGUGAUCCAUUAGCAAUAAUGGUGAAAGUGGCGCACGGGUGAGUAACACAUGGCUGACCUGUCCUUCAGCGGGGGACAACGUCUGGAAACGGGCGCUAAUACCCCAUACGCUCACUGGGGUUAGAGGCUAGUGAGGAAAGGCGCAAGUUGCUGAAGGAGGGGCUGUGGCCCAUCAGCUAGUUGGUAGGGUAAAGGCCUACCAAGGCGAGGACGGGUAGGGGCCUGAGAGGGUGAUCCCCCACACUGGAACUGAGAGACGGUCCAGACUCCUACGGGAGGCUG